rnacentral:rRNA from 1 species
GUGUCAGCCGCCGCGGUAAUACGUAGGGUGCGAGCGUUGUCCGGAUUUAUUGGGCGUAAAGGGCUCGUAGGCGGCCUGUCGCGUCGGAAGUGAAAGCCCACUGCUUAACGGUGGGUCUGCUUCCGGUACGGGCAGGCUGGAGUAUGGCAGGGGAGACUGGAAUUCCUGGUGUAGCGGUGGAAUGCGCAGAUAUCGGGAGGAACACCGGUGGCGAAGGCGGUUCUCUGGGCCUGUUCUGACGCUGAGGAGCGAAAGCGUGGGGAGCGAACAGGAUUAGAAACCCCAGUAGUCC